CCUGCCUCAAAGAGGGGGACAACAGUUGGAAACGACUGCUAAUACCGCAUAAGCCCACGGGUCGGCAUCGACCAGAGGGAAAAGGAGCAAUCCGCUUUGAGAUGGCCUCGCGUCCGAUUAGCUAGUUGGUGAGGUAAUGGCCCACCAAGGCGACGAUCGGUAGCCGGACUGAGAGGUUGAACGGCCACAUUGGGACUGAGACACGGCCCAGACUCCUACGGGAGGCAGCAGUGGGGAAUAUUGCACAAUGGGGGAAACCCUGAUGCAGCGACGCCGCGUGGAGGAAGAAGGUCUUCGGAUUGUAAACUCCUGUUGUUGAGGAAGAUAAUGACGGUACUCAACAAGGAAGUGACGGCUAACUACGUGCCAGCAGCCGCGGUAAAACGUAGGUCACAAGCGUUGUCCGGAAUUACUGGGUGUAAAGGGAGCGCAGGCGGGAAGACAAGUUGGAAGUGAAAUCCAUGGGCUCAACCCAUGAACUGCUUUCAAAACUGUUUUUCUUGAGUAGUGCAGAGGUAGGCGGAAUUCCCGGUGUAGCGGUGGAAUGCGUAGAUAUCGGGAGGAACACCAGUGGCGAAGGCGGCCUACUGGGCACCAACUGACGCUGAGGCUCGAAAGUGUGGGUAGCAAACAGGAUUAGAUACCCUGGUAGUCCACACCGUAAACGAUGAUUAAUAGGUGUUGGAGGAUUGACCCCUUCAGUGCCGCAG
rnacentral:rRNA from 1 species